GAGUUUGAUCCUGGCUCAGGAUGAACGCUGGCGGCGUGCUUAACACAUGCAAGUCGAACGGAGUUAUCAUUUUUGAAGCGAUUAGCUUGCUAAGAGUGGAAAUGUUGGUAACUUAGUGGCGGACGGGUGAGUAACGCGUGGAGAACCUGCCUUACACAGGGGGAUAACACUUAGAAAUAGGUGCUAAUACCGCAUAAGCGCACAGGACCGCAUGGUCCGGUGUGAAAAACUGAGGUGGUGUAAGAUGGCUCCGCGUCUGAUUAGCUUGUUGGUAGGGUAACGGCCUACCAAGGCGACGAUCAGUAGCCGGCCUGAGAGGGUGAACGGCCACAUUGGGACUGAGACACGGCCCAAACUCCUACGGGAGGCAGCAGUGGGGAAUAUUGGACAAUGGGGGAAACCCUGAUCCAGCGACGCCGCGUGAGUGAAGAAGUAUUUCGGUAUGUAAAGCUCUAUCAGCAGGGAAGAAAAUGACGGUACCUGACUAAGAAGCCCCGGCUAACUACGUGCCAGCAGCCGCGGUAAUACGUAGGGGGCAAGCGUUAUCCGGAUUUACUGGGUGUAAAGGGAGCGUAGACGGCAUUGCAAGUCUGAUGUGAAAGAUUGGGGCUCAACCCCAGGCCUGCAUUGGAAACUGUAAAGCUGGAGUACAGGAGAGGUAAGCGGAAUUCCUAGUGUAGCGGUGAAAUGCGUAGAUAUUAGGAGGAACACCAGUGGCGAAGGCGGCUUACUGGACUGUAACUGACGUUGAGGCUCGAAAGCGUGGGGAGCAAACAGGAUUAGAUACCCUGGUAGUCCACGCCGUAAACGAUGAUUACUAGGUGUCGGUGGGCAUGGGCCCAUCGGUGCCGCAGCCAACGCAAUAAGUAAUCCACCUGGGGAGUACGUUCGCAAGAAUGAAACUCAAAGGAAUUGACGG
rnacentral:rRNA from 1 species